CUGGCGGCGUGCCUAACACAUGCAAGUCGAGCGAGGAGAUUCCUUCGGGAUGAUCCUAGCGGCGGACGGGUGAGUAACACGUGGGCAACCUGCCUCAUAGAGAGGAAUAGCCUUCCGAAAGGGAGAUUAAUACCUCAUAACAUUGCAGUUUCGCAUGGAACAGCAAUUAAAGGAGCAAUCCGCUAUGAGAUGGGCCCGCGGCGCAUUAGCUAGUUGGUGAGGUAACGGCUCACCAAGGCGACGAUGCGUAGCCGACCUGAGAGGGUGAUCGGCCACAUUGGGACUGAGACACGGCCCAGACUCCUACGGGAGGCAGCAGUGGGGAAUAUUGCACAAUGGGGGAAACCCUGAUGCAGCCAACGCCGCGUGAGUGAUGACGGCCUUCGGGUUGUAAAGCUCUGUCUUCAGGGACGAUAAUGACGGUACCUGAGGAGGAAGCCACGGCUAACUACGUGCCAGCAGCAGC
rnacentral:rRNA from 1 species